UAACACGUGAGCAACCUGCCUUUCAGAGGGGGAUAACAGUUGGAAACGACUGCUAAUACCGCAUAACGCUGCGAUGGGGCAUCCCGAUGCAGCCAAAGGAGCAAUCCGCUGAAAGAUGGGCUCGCGGCCGAUUAGCUAGUUGGUGGGGCAACGGCCCACCAAGGCGACGAUCGGUAGCCGGACUGAGAGGUUGAUCGGCCACAUUGGGACUGAGACACGGCCCAGACUCCUACGGGAGGCAGCAGUGGGGGAUAUUGCACAAUGGAGGAAACUCUGAUGCAGCGACGCCGCGUGAGGGAAGACGGUCUUCGGAUUGUAAACCUCUGUCUUUGGGGAAGAAAAUGACGGUACCCAAAGAGGAAGCUCCGGCUAACUACGUGCCAGCAGCCGCGGUAAUACGUAGGGAGCGAGCGUUGUCCGGAAUUACUGGGUGUAAAGGGAGCGUAGGCGGGCGAGAAAGUUGAAUGUUAAAUCUACCGGCUUAACUGGUAGCUGCGUUCAAAACUUCUUGUCUUGAGUGAAGUAGAGGCAGGCGGAAUUCCUAGUGUAGCGGUGAAAUGCGUAGAUAUUAGGAGGAACACCAGUGGCGAAGGCGGCCUGCUGGGCUUUAACUGACGCUGAGGCUCGAAAGCGUGGGAGCAAACAGGAUUAGAUACCCUGGUAG
rnacentral:rRNA from 1 species